CCCUUAGAUGUUCUGGGCCGCACGCGCGCUACACUGACGAAUGCAACGAGCUUAUAACCUUGGCCGAAAGGUCUGGGUAAUCUCCAAAUUUCGUCGUGAUGGGGAUAGAUUAUUGCAAUUAUUAAUCUUCAACGAGGAAUGCCUAGUAAGCGCAAGUCAUCAGCUUGCGUUGAUUACGUCCCUGCCCUUUGUACACACCGCCCGUCGCUCCUACCGAUUGAGUGCUCAGGUGAAUAAUUCGGACUGCAGCAGUGUUUGGAUCCCGAACGCUGCAGCGGAAAGUUUAGUGAACCUUAUCACUUAGAGGAAGGAGAAGUCGUAACA
rnacentral:rRNA from 1 species